rnacentral:SRP_RNA from 1 species
GCUGGGCGUGGUGGCUCACGCCUGUAAUCCCAGCACUUUGGGAGGCCGAGGCUGGCGGAUUACCUGAGGUCAGGAGUCCCAGACCAGCCUGACCAAAAUGGUGAAACCCUGUCUCUA